rnacentral:rRNA from 1 species
AGAGUUUGAUCCUGGCUCAGGAUGAACGCUGGCGGCGUGCCUAAGGUAUGCAAGUCGACCGUGUACCAUCUGGUACACGGGGCAGACGGCUGAGUAACACGUGAGAACUUACCUUUAACUCGGAAACAAUCCUGUGAAAACGGGGCUAAUGUCCGAUAGUCCCUGUGCCGUACGGUACAGGGUAAAGCUUCGGUGGUUAGAGAAAGGCUCGCGUCCUAUCAGGUAGUUGGUGGGGUAAUAGCCUACCAAGCCUACGACGGGUAGCUGGUCUGAGAGGAUGGUCAGCCAGACUGGGACUGAAACACGGCCCAGACUCCUACGGGAGGCAGCAAUUAGGAAUCUUGCGCAAUGGGGGGAACCCUGACGCAGCGACGCCGCGUGGUGGAUGAAUGCCUUCGGGUUGUAAACACCUUUUGUAAGGGAUAAACACUGAUAGUACCUUACGAAUAAGUGCCCGCUAACUAUGUGCCAGAAGCGUCGGUGAUACAUAGGGCACAAGCGUUAUCCGGAAUUACUGGGCGUAAAGAGAUGCGUAGGUGUUUAUGUAAGUUACUUGUUAAAUCUCUCUACUUAAUGGAGAAAAUGCAAGUAAUACUGCGUAAAUUGAGACAGAAAGAGGAGAGGGGAAUUCCUGGAGGAGCGGUGAAAUGCGUUGAUAUCAGGAGGAACACCAAGUGCGAAGGCACCUCUCUGGUUCUGUUCUGACACUAAGGCUCGAAAGCGUGGGUAGCAAAACGGAUUAGAUACCCUGGUAGU